CUGGCGGCAGGCCUAACACAUGCAAGUCGAACGGUAGCACAGAGAGCUUGCUCUCGGGUGACGAGUGGCGGACGGGUGAGUAAUGUCUGGGAAACUGCCUGAUGGAGGGGGAUAACUACUGGAAACGGUAGCUAAUACCGCAUAACGUCGCAAGACCAAAGAGGGGGACCUUCGGGCCUCUUGCCAUCAGAUGUGCCCAGAUGGGAUUAGCUAGUAGGUGGGGUAACGGCUCACCUAGGCGACGAUCCCUAGCUGGUCUGAGAGGAUGACCAGCCACACUGGAACUGAGACACGGUCCAGACUCCUACGGGAGGCAGCAGUGGGGAAUAUUGCACAAUGGGCGCAAGCCUGAUGCAGCCAUGCCGCGUGUAUGAAGAAGGCCUUCGGGUUGUAAAGUACUUUCAGCGGGGAGGAAGGUGUUGCGGUUAAUAACCGCAGCAAUUGACGUUACCCGCAGAAGAAGCACCGGCUAACUCCGUGCCAGCAGCCGCGGUAAUACGGAGGGUGCAAGCGUUAAUCGGAAUUACUGGGCGUAAAGCGCACGCAGGCGGUCUGUCAAGUCGGAUGUGAAAUCCCCGGGCUCAACCUGGGAACUGCAUUCGAAACUGGCAGGCUAGAGUCUUGUAGAGGGGGGUAGAAUUCCAGGUGUAGCGGUGAAAUGCGUAGAGAUCUGGAGGAAUACCGGUGGCGAAGGCGGCCCCCUGGACAAAGACUGACGCUCAGGUGCGAAAGCGUGGGGAGC
rnacentral:rRNA from 1 species